GACGAACGCUGGCGGCGUGCUUAACACAUGCAAGUCGAACGGAAAGGCCCUGCUUGCAGGGUACUCGAGUGGCGAACGGGUGAGUAACACGUGGGUGAUCUGCCCUGCACUUCGGGAUAAGCCUGGGAAACUGGGUCUAAUACCGGAUAGGAGCCAUUUUUAGUGUGAUGGUUGGAAAGUUUUUUCGGUGUAAGAUGAGCUCGCGGCCUAUCAGCUUGUUGGUGGGGUAAUGGCCUACCAAGGCGGCGACGGGUAGCCGGCCUGAGAGGGUGGACGGCCACAUUGGGCCUGAGAUACGGCCCAGACCCCUACGGGGGGCAGCGGGGGGGAAUAUUGCACAAUGGGGGAAAGCCUGAUGCAGCGACGCCGGGUGGGGGAUGACGGCCUUCGGGUUGUAAACUCCUUUCGCUGGGGACGAAGCUUUUUUGGACGGAACCUAAAAAAAAAGCCCCGGCUAACUACGG
rnacentral:rRNA from 1 species